CGAAAAUCCUCAUAUUGGUUUCCGGAAAACAUUGUAACACCGAUUGCUUCCUUCCGCAAUUUGGCAAUGUCGCUUCGUCGUCCAAUUGUCCAAUCACGACAGCUACUGAUAACCGGCGAUGGUAAACGUCCCAGUGGUGCGUGUCUUGGACAGGUGUUGGUUCUGAAAGGUUAACCGCUGUACAAACCACCCUCGCACGUGGUUUUUUUUCUGAUACAUUUUUGGGUUUUCUACCAUGGUGGCUAUGAAAUAUAAGUAAACUACUAACCUGAAAUUUAAAAAUGAAAAUUUGAUAAAUCCUUAACAAAUUCUUGUUCACUAAUUCAAUUACAUUUUGUACUCGAUUUUUAAUGUAAUUAUUGACUAAAGAACAUUCAUGUGUUUUUUUUAUUUGGAUGAACUUUCCAUAAAUAAUAGCCAAUAGGUAUAUCUAGGUACUUAAUAUAAUGCUCUAUUGCUGUGUACGUUUUAUACAAAAAUUAUUGACCUACUUUAAAUCGGCUAUUACCAUAACUGUAGGCUAAUAAUUUCAUUAGUCCUUCUUUAAAAUAGAAUUUAAAGAUUAUACAACAAUUAACAACAUACCUAUCUAACAUAAUGUUAUAAUACAUUUCAAUACUUCAUACGUGGAUAAGUCCCAUCUUAAGAGCCACGUAGACAAAUACAGAUGAAUAUAUGUAUAAAUAUAAUUAUGCUAUUGAAAAAGAAGUUUUAGUGUGAACUAAUCUGAAUAAUAACAAUAUUGUUUCUAAGCAAUUAUUAUAUUUAUGUCCCGAGUUCCAGACCAAGAAACAUGUUUCUGA